AAGGGCGCGAUUACGUCACGAGAGUUUAGUAAUUUGAAUCAUAAUAUGAUUAAUCGGUAUUUUUUGUAUGGAAAAUAGUAAAGAUAGUUAUGAAAUAAAGAUAUUUAGUGGAUUAUAGUACCUAAUUAUGAAAAACUUUUGAUUUUUGUGUGGUCUGGUACCCCUACCACAGUGGGAUAGAAAUCUUGAGCUUCCCUGGCCCCUUUCGCUUGGAGGUGCUGUGCUAGGUGCUAGUAGUCACAAACACGAAACACAUCAACAAGUCACGUUCGUAAGAGUUCGUUGCGCAUGAUUCAUUUUCCGUCAUUUUGUUUAUGAUUUUGUCCUGUUUUGUUUUUUUUUUAAAUAGAGGUAAUUUUAUGACCAGUGAUAUGGCUAAGACAGAUAGACUAUUAUUGAAAUGGAACAACAUACAAUAAUAUGUAGAACAUGUUGUGUUGGUGGUUGUACCUUCUCCACAUCGAUUACGUUUUCCAGAGAUGAAAUGGACAUGUUCUUGGAAGGGUUGAAACUUAUUCAAAUUUUCGUGUUUGUUCUAGGCAUUUUAAAGAAGAUUUUAAGAUACAUGAGAGUUCGAACAAGAGGAAUUACCAAAGGGGCCAUCCCAAGCUCAUUUUUACCACCACUAGGUAAGAACCACAUAGGACAAAUAAUUCAAUUUUAAUAGAGCUAAAAGUUAGCCAACACCUAUCGAGUAAAGUACAUAUCCAACAAUUAAAAUGCUUUGGAUCAAUCAAAUUACAGGAAUAUGCAAAAGACCUAUGCAUGAGUUAAAAGAAAUGACCAGAGACAGAGAUCUUUUUAGACAGACAAUAUAUGACAUCACGUCGACCACUACACUCCCUCCUGGGGGUCAGGAUUGAAGAGAGAGAUUAUCAGGAUGAAAAGGCUACUGAAGAAUCUCAAUUUAUUGACAUGCAUGGUAAUAUGUUAUAAAGUACUUCCACUCUAACUUUUCCCAUGCACGAAAUUAUUGACGAACUACUAUUCAUACAAGGUCUCUUUUUAACUCACAGACACUCUGAGAGUAGUACAUAUCAAUGCCACACAUCAAUGUAUGUUUCGCUUUAUUUUUUGAUAUCAACGCAUGUGAAAAGUCAGAGUGGAAGAACUAUAAAAAUAUACCUUACCUACAUUCUAAAUUGUAAUAAUUUUGCUUUUCAUUCACAGUCAUUUAUUUCGAGCUUCUGUCAUAUGUCCUAUAAUCCAUGUAUAUUAAUAUUUUACACAGAUUAGCUUAGUUUCGAGCAUCCAUCAUAGGAAUCUCAUAUAAUAUUAAUAUAAUCUGUGUAUAAUAUUAAUAUACAUGAAUUAUAGGACAUAUGACAGAAGUUCGAAAUAAAUGACUGUGAAUGAAAAGCCCUAUUAUUACAAUUGAGAAUGUAGGUGAGGUAUAUUUUUAUAGUUCUUAUAAUAUUAUAAUAUGUAUUAUGCUCAUAUAAUGAUAUUAUCCACUGUACUGAAAGGUAAAAAUUUUAACCCACAAAUCAACUUUUUUCAGGAAGUAGAGAAAACGUUCCACUUAAGUAAUUUGGUGAGGAAUUAACCUCAUCAAAACAAACGUAUAUAUCAAUAAUUGAACUAUAAAGUAAUGAAAACAAUUAUUAGGUUAAUUCCUCACCAAAUUACAAACGUCUUUUCUACUUCAUGAAAAAAGUUGAUUUGUGAUAAAUACAGUAAAUCCUCUGUUAACUGAAACAUUGCUUAACCGAAAUGGGUCAAUAGUUACAGUUUCAAUAAUUACGUCAAUAAAAGGUAAAUUUUUAUAUCAAAACAGAAAUAAUUCAAUGUUAAUUUGUCAACAUUGCUUUCAUACAACUAAAAUAUGCAAUUUAUUUAUUUAUUUAUACAGGGUGCCUGCUUAACUUGGAACCAUAUGGGAAACUUUUGUAAUAUCAAUUUUACGAAAAAAAGUCAUUCUUUAUAAAGUGCUCUGCAUAGUCUAAAACCUACGAUGCAAUCAUCAGAAAUCAAAUUUUGUCAAUAAUAUACAAGGUAUGUCAAAAAAUAUUAAUAUCGCUCAAGAGCAAACUACCUUUAUAUUUCAAA